AGCCAGUCCUGCAGCUGCCCUGACUCCUGGGGCUGGCGGCUGAGGCCCAGAGCCUGGGCAGGAGGCCAGGGGCAGAAAGGGAGGCCGCAGCCGGGGCCGGUGGCCUGAGGAGUGCGGGCCGGAGGCCUUCCCUAGGAGGACUCCGCUGACAGGAAUGGGAGCCAUGACAGAGAAGAAAAUGGUCAAGAAAGGAAGCUUGCAUGAAACAUUUUCACUCGGCUGUGGAAAGAACAAAUGGAAUGAUUCACGCGGAGCACGGGGCUCAGUGCGCAGGAGUGGAUGUCUUCCUGAGAUUUGCCCGCCAUCUUGGUUGCAGGAUAGCUGCCCUACCCUCUUACAGCCCCAUUCAAGGCAAGAAUGAAGCUUUCCUUUGGAAUUUCACUUUUCAUCUGGAGGGGGAGGAGGAUCCUUCAUCUUUAGCCCACUUCCGUGAGUCCUUGGGUCUCCGAGGCCAUAACUGUGUCACUUAGGCAAAGGAGAAUGGGAUUAUGUUGACAGGUUUAAGGCUUAGUCUCCUGGGGCCUUGGAGAAGUCCACCUCCCUGGAGAACGGUGCUGAUAUCUGAACAAGGCUGUGUGAGCAAGGAAGAAGAGAUGGCCUCUUUUCAACCCUCCCCCUUCUUCCAACCCAUAGCUGACUUGGCAGUGUUGACCUGCAGUUCAGUAGAGUCAAGCACAUCUGGAUUCAUAUCCUAGAGCCAUUUCUUCCAAUCUGUGUUACUUCAUAUCAGUUAUUUUAUUGUUUGUCCUGGAGUUUCCUUAUCUGCGGAAUGGGAAUAGAACAGUUCUUACGUUGUUGGCUGUUGGGGUGCUGAAAUGAAACAAUGCAUGCGAAGUGCUUAACACAGUGCCUGGCACUUGGUAAAUGCUCAGCAAAAGCUAGCCAUUAAUAUUUUGGGGGGGACCACCCUCUCCUUAAAAUUCUCCGAUCUCAUGGGGUGCCUGGCUGGCUCAGUAGGUGGAA